rnacentral:rRNA from 1 species
GACGAACGCUGGCGGCGUGCCUAAUACAUGCAAGUGGGACGCAAGGGAACACACUGUGCUUGCACACCGUGUUUUCUUGAGUCGCGAACGGGUGAGUAACGCGUAGGUAACCUGCCUAUUAGCGGGGGAUAACUAUUGGAAACGAUAGCUAAUACCGCAUAAUAUUAAUUAUUGCAUGAUAAUUGAUUGAAAGAUGCAAGCGCAUCACUAGUAGAUGGACCUGCGUUGUAUUAGCUAGUUGGUAAGGUAAGAGCUUACCAAGGCGACGAUACAUAGCCGACCUGAGAGGGUGAUCGGCCACACUGGGACUGAGACACGGCCCAGACUCCUACGGGAGGCAGCAGUAGGGAAUCUUCGGCAAUGGACGAAAGUCUGGCCGAGCAACGCCGCGUGAGUGAAGAAGGUUUUCGGAUCGUAAAGCUCUGUUGUAAGUCAAGAACGUGUGUGAGAGUGGAAAGUUCACGCAG